GACGAACGCUGGCGGCGUGCCUAAUACAUGCAAGUAGGACGCAGUUGCGAACGGGUGAGUAACGCGUAGGUAACUGCCUCUUAGAGGGGGAUAACUAUUGGAAACGAUAGCUAAUACCGCAUACUAGUAGAUGGACCUGCGUUGUAUUAGCUAGUAGGUAGGGUAAUGGCCUACCUAGGCGACGAUAGAUAGCCGACCUGAGAGGGUGGUCGGCAAAAAUGGGGCUGAGGCACGGGCCAGACUCCUGCGGGGGGCAGCAGUAGGGAAUCUUCGGCAAUGGGGGGAAACGUGACCGAGCAACGCCGCGUGAGUGGAGAAGGUUUUCGGAUCGUAAAGCUCUGUUGUUAAGGAAGCGGUACUUAACCAGAAAGGGACGGCUAACUACGUGCCAGCAGCCGCGGUAAUUC
rnacentral:rRNA from 1 species